rnacentral:rRNA from 1 species
UACGUAGGGUGCGAGCGUUGUCCGGAAUUAUUGGGCGUAAAGAGCUCGUAGGCGGUUUGUCACGUCUGCUGUGAAAUCCCGAGGCUCAACCUCGGGCCUGCAGUGGGUACGGGCAGACUGGAGUGCGGUAGGGGAGAAUGGAAUUCCUGGUGUAGCGGUGGAAUGCGCAGAUAUCAGGAGGAACACCGGUGGCGAAGGCGGGUCUCUGGGCAACAACUGACGCUGAGGAGCGAAAGCGUGGGGAGCGAACAGG